rnacentral:rRNA from 1 species
GACGAACGCUGGCGGCGUGCUUAACACAUGCAAGUCGAACGGUGAAGCGCCUUCCUUUUUGGUGGGUGUGGAUGAGUGGCGAACGGGUGAGUAACACGUGAGUAACCUGCCCCCUUCUUCUGGAUAACCGCAUGAAAGUGUGGCUAAUACGGGAUAUUCUGGGUCUGUCGCAUGAUGGGUCUGGGAAAGAUAUUGUUUCGGUGGGGGAUGGGCUCGCGGCCUAUCAGCUUGUUGGUGGGGUGAUGGCCUACCAAGGCGGUGACGGGUAGCCGGCCUGAGAGGGUGGACGGUCACACUGGGACUGAGACACGGCCCAGACUCCUACGGGAGGCAGCAGAGGGGAAUAUUGCACAAUGGGCGCAAGCCUGAUGCAGCGACGCCGCGUGAGGGAUGGAGGCCUUCGGGUUGUGAACCUCUUUCGCCAGUGAAGCAGGCCUGCCUCGUUUGUGGGUGGGUUGACGGUAGCUGGAUAAGAAGCGCCAGCUAACUACGUG